AAUGCAUAUGGCACCUUUUGGUCAUACUAAAAGGCAUGCCUGUUUGAGAAUCAUUUGCCCUCUUGAUCCGCUGGUCACUUGGUUGAUUGGAUGGCGUCAGACGUGGACAUUCAUCAGUGAUUGUCUUGAAUUGUGCGUGGUUGUGUCGUGAUAGAAUGGCGUUGCUGUUGUGAUCGACCAGUCGUUUUGUCCUCGAUGAUGAUCUCAAAUCAGGCAAGACUACCCGCUGAACUUAA
rnacentral:misc_RNA from 1 species